rnacentral:rRNA from 1 species
UGAAUACGAGAUGCUACGGCGUCGAGGCAGUCUAUGUCAUACUUCCAAGAAAAGCUUGCACUGUCAUAAACAAAUAAUGCCUGUACCAUAACCGACACAGGUGGGUAGGUAGAGUAUACUAAGGGGCGCGAGAUAACUCUCUCUAAGGAACUCGGCAAAAUGACUCCGUAACUUCGGGAGAAGGAGUGCCUUAUUUAUAAGGUUGCAAUAACAAGAUCCAAGCAACUGUUUACCAAAAACACAGGUCUCCGCUAAGUCGUAAGACGAUGUAUGGGGGCUGACGCCUGCCCAGUGCCAGAAGGUUAAAGAAGUUGGUUAGCAUCCGCGAAGCUGAUAACUGAAGCCCUGGUGAACGGCGGCCGUAACAAUAACGGUCCUAAGGUAGCGAAAUUCCUUGUCGGGUAAGUUCCGACCCGCACGAAAGGCGUAAUGAUUUGGAUACUGUCUCGGAGAGGGGCUCGGUGAAAUAGACUUGUCUGUGAAGAUGCGGACUACCUGCACCAGGACAGAAAGACCCUAUGAAGCUUUACUGUAACCUGAAAUUGAAAUUGGACUUUACUUGCGCAGUAUAGGUGGGAGGCGUUGAGAAUAUUCUUGCGGGAUUAUUGGAGCCAUCAGUGAGAUACCACUCUUGUAAUGUUAGAUUUCUAACUUUGUAUCAUUAUCUGGUCAAAGAACAGUUUCAGGCGGGCAGUUUGACUGGGGCGGUCGCCUCCUAAACGGUAACGGAGGCGCACUAAGGUUUCCUCUAAACGGGUAGAAAUCGUAUCUAGAGUGUAAAGGCAUAAGGAAGCUUGACUGUGAGACCUACAAGUCGAGCAGGGACGAAAGUCGGUCUUAGUGAUCUGACGGUGCUGAGUGGAAAGGCCGUCACUCAACGGAUAAAAGUUACUCUAGGAUAACAGGCUGAUCUCCCCCAAGAGUUCACAUCGACGGGGAGGUUUGGCACCUCGAUGUCGGCUCAUCACAUCCUGGGGCGGUAGUACGUCCCAAGGGUUGGGCUGUUCGCCCAUGAAAGCGGUACGCGAGCUGGGUUCAGAACGUCGUGAGACAGUUCGGUCCAUAUCCGGUGUAGGCGUUAGAAUAUUGAGAGGAGCCUUCUUUAGUACGAGAGGACCGAGAAGGACAUACCUCUGGUGUACCAGUUAUCGUGCCAACGGUAAACGCUGGGUAGCUAUGUGUGGAGUGGAUAACCGCUGAAAGCAUCUAAGUGGGAAGCCCACCUCAAGAUAAGUAUUCUCACC